rnacentral:misc_RNA from 1 species
CUGAAGUGAUUUGGGGGAUGUUGCUGGCCUCUUCUCAGGGGCAAAUGUGCACUCCCUGAACAAUUCACAAUUUCCAUCACACCCUUGUGCACAUCCUGUAGGUGCGCACCCUCCUCUCCAAGGGUUGGGUCGUCCUAUGUAUUCUCUCAUCUCACACUUUUUUUGAAUGGUGCUCUUGAAUGCAUCUUAUGGAUUAUUUGUAAAAAAGUAAUCACAGAAA